CAGUGAAUUUUUGGAACAACAUCCUAACAUGUCACAAUAGAGAGAAUUGUCAGCCAGCCAAGAUGCUGAACCAAUCAGAGCAGGAUACAAAUAUAUUUCUCCCUAUGCAAGAUAGAUUUCUUACUCAAACUGAAGGAGAGAUUCACAGCACUAAAGUUGACUCUUUUCCCCAUAGGUUAGCUGUGAAUCUGCAAGUAGCUGAGCUUGAAAAGGGGUUUCAGGCACCAUCCUGUAUUUGUGAGUGCUGGAAAUGGCAGAGAUGUGUAGAGCACCCCUGAUCACCAGAGAAUGUGUAAAGCAACAGAAUUCCCCUGGUCUCCUCACCUGCAAAGCACAGUUAUAGGAAAUGUAGAUACAAGAGUUCCCCAGAGUCAUAAAUAUUACAAGGAAUCGAGCCCUUGACUGAGUUGACUUCAAUAUCUAUGAAACAGCCACAAUAAUAUGUUUCAGCAAUUUCUUCAUACUGAGAAUUUGAGUCAACUACUUUUCAUCAGGUGGGAUGACAAGGCUUUGAUACUUAGGUCAGAUGGGAAAUUCUCAGAGUCUCAGUGACAAAAUAUGAGCACAAGGUAAAAUAAGCAAAGAACAAGAGGCAGAACUGAUUCCACAAUUCUGGGAUGGUCUGUGGAAGUUCAAGAACACCCAGAGCUGGGCAGUGUCAGAGUUUAAAGGGUAACUGUCCUCUAAAAAGAGAAGAAAAAAAUACUAUACUGAAAAUAAAUCAAUGUUGGUAGAUUACAUUACAACUGAAUCCUCAGUUUCUACAGGUGAUUCUUCAAGUUGUUUCAGGGGUGGCAGAGGUGCUCUUUAUCUCCAUCUAUACAGAAAAUACACCUGUCAGCUGCAUUAAUUUUGUUCCUCAAGGUCACAAUUAAUUACCAGCUUAUAACUGCAAUGAGCCUUUAAUACUAGCUGCACUAGCAAACACUAAAAUGGUGUGAGGAGAGGGGAACACAAAGACAUCCUCAAGCACAGAAACAGCUUUUAAUAAAAAACCCCAUCACUCCAAGAUUCCAGAAAUGCUGGAAACUACACAGGAAAGAGAAGAAAAUUCCUAAGUGGCAUGAGAUAAUUUCAGAUUUUCAGACUAUCAAGAAGGAAUUACCAUAUUUAAGUGAAUAAAGGGAUGUCUGCAUUAUGACCUGCUCUUCACCUGCUGACAUGGUAAUAAAACAUCAAGAAAUUUAACAUCAAGAAAUAAAACACUGAGAAAUAAAACAUUAACCCCAUUAAGAAGCACUAAGUAAUCCAAUGAGUGAGUGUGAAGAGCAAAUUACCUCAGUGCCACAAUUAUGCAUUAAGGAAAAUUCUCAGGGUGCUACAUUUGUUGAACUUGGCCACAACAUAUUUAAUACAAUAUGGCAAAGGUAAUAUAAUACUUAAAUAUAGGGGAAAUGGGAAAAAUGAUAGAAAAAAAAAUCCCUGUCCAAGUCUGCUUCCCUGAACAGCUUCUUUUAGAUGUUCCAUGCUUGGAAGUUGUAACAUUUAGUAUGAGAAAGUGCUUGUCUAAAGGUAGCUGAUGCCACAGGAGGUUCCUUAUCUUGCUUUUUGUGCUCUGUGUUAGAAAUGAGCCUUGUGUUCAUUCCUGCCACACUGGACUGAUGCUCUUUGUGUUGAAAUAAAGUCAGGUUUGCUGGAAAAGCUCUGCUCAGUCAUGUCCUACAGUAUUCCCUGAGCUCACAGGUACAUUUUCCUUGUCCACCCUGAAUCUUCUUCCAUUUUACAGAUUCCACCUCUUAGAAUUUCAAGAGCCACAAGCUAGGCAUUGGCAGAUUGUUUAAAUUUAUUGUUUAGUUUUUGCUUGUAAAUAGGACCUUCUUGUUUAACUAGAAGAAAACCAUGAACUUUUAAUGGUGCCAGAUCUUAUCAAGAGUCUGUAGACUUCUCACUGGGGAUUUUUGUUUAAACAAAAGUUAGACAGUAUUUCUAAAGAUUAUUUUCUGGCUUAUGAUGAAUGUCCCAAGUUUUGUUUUGGUUUCUUUAACUGAAGUGUCUUCCAAGCUCAAUCAAAACACUGAAACUUAACAGAGGAAGUUCACUCUUCAUUUCUAAGAUAGCUUGGACUGAUUUCUGCAAGCCACUGCACUUUAUUGAAAAUAAAAUGGAAAUUUUUUUUCCAUUUUCUACCAUAAUUGACCUCUCUUGUACUGAUUUAAGAAAAGCAUCUUAAGUUGAUACAGAUAAAAUGUUAUGACUAGCAAA